GACGAACGCUGGCGGCGUGCCUAAUACAUGCCAGUAGAACGCACAGUUUAUACCGUAGCUUGCUACACCAUAGACUGUGAGUUGCGAACGGGUGAGUAACGCGUAGGUAACCUGCCUGGUAGCGGGGGAUAACUAUUGGAAACGAUAGCUAAUACCGCAUAAUAUUAAUUAUUGCAUGAUAAUUAAUUGAAAGGUGCAAUUGCACCACUACCAGAUGGACCUGCGUUGUAUUAGCUAGUAGGUGAGGUAACGGCUCACCUAGGCGACGAUACAUAGCCGACCUGAGAGGGUGAUCGGCCACACUGGGACUGAGACACGGCCCAGACUCCUACGGGAGGCAGCAGUAGGGAAUCUUCGGCAAUGGACGAAAGUCUGACUGAGCAACGCCGCGUGAGUGAAGAAGGUUUUCGGAUCGUAAAGCUCUGUUGUAAGAGAAGAACGGGUGUGAGAGUGGAAAGUUCACACUGUGACGGUAUCUUACCAGAAAGGGACGGCUAACUACGUG
rnacentral:rRNA from 1 species